rnacentral:misc_RNA from 1 species
GAUGAAAACGUAGCGAAAUGCGAUAAGUAGUGUGAAUUGCAGAAUUCAGUGAAUCAUCGAAUCUUUGAACGCACAUUGCGGCCAUAGGUAUUCCUUUGGCCAUGCCUGUUCGAGCGUCAUUUACACCCUCAAGCCUAGCUUGGUGUUGGGCGUCUGUCCCGCCGUUUUCGCGCGCGGACUCGCCUCAAAGUCAUUGGCGGCGGUCGUGCCGGCCCCCUCGCGCAGCACAUUUGCGCUUCUCGGAGGCCCGGCGGAUCCGCGCUCCAGCAAGACCUUUCACGACUUGACCUCGGAUCAGGUAGGGAUACCCGCUGAACUUAAGCAUAUCAAUAAGCGGAGGA